GUGCUUGCUUCAGCAGCACAUAUACUAAAAUUGGAACAAUACAGAGAAGACUAGCCUGGCCUCUGUGCAAGGAUGACAUGCAAAUUCAUGAAGCAUUCCAUAUUUUU
rnacentral:snRNA from 1 species